rnacentral:lncRNA from 1 species
AGUGGAGACAGCAGCAACAAUGUGAAUCCAGGAAGACAGGAUGCAUUCUACCGGCAUCCUCAAUAAGGUCCUGUCAUUUGGAAGGAGUAGGAAGAGAUUCCCAAAUCCUCUGGUUGAGGCUGUGCAUCUGAUGGGUCAGUCUAAUUCAGGAACUUCAACUCCCAGCAUUUCAGCAAGAAGGAAGUCCCCCUCCCUGGGCGGCUCUGCUGCAUGAGGAACCAGGUAUGCAGUGACCUGUGCUGGGAAUGUCCUGCUUUGUCCCAGCAGAUCCACUUUCCACCCUGCUUUGGUGUGACAUCUCCAGCCGGGGCUCUGACUCUGCAUUUGUGAGUGCCUACCAUAGAGCAGAAGUGCCAACUGACAGUUGUCUUGCCACUGUAUGACUAGAGCUCUUCCUGCUCUUCCUGGAUGUAGGCCCUGUGCACCUGCGAGUGCAUGAAGCAAUCUUAAAUAGAUCGUGCCUAUCUGCAGCAUCUCCACCUCUUAGGCCUUUAAAUAUUUAUUCAAGAAAGAGAAACUGAUCUCUCCUAAGAUUGUGCAACCACGUGCUACCAAGAGGGGAAAGCCGGAAGUCACCUAAUAAACAUGGGGCUGGCAAUUGCACUAAUGUUCCAAGUCACUGAAAAGAGCAGGAAUUUGGGGACCAUGCCGAUGAUAGGCUCUGUACCUCUGUAGCUGAGGCCAUGACUGAUGUAGCCGGAAGUCCACACUGCUUCUUUGCCAAAGGCAAAGAGAUACCAUCCACACCCAUCUGCACCUCGGUGUCUCUCCCAAAAAUGGUUCCUGUGAAAUACCCCAAACUUCCCUGCUGGCUAAGGAAGUUUGCUUCACUGGUGGGAUGCUAAGCAGACUCAGGACAACACUGGAAAGCAACAGAAUCAAAUGUUGGGUGGGAAGGCAAGCAGGCAUUCGGUGCUGGGCCUCAGAAGCUGCCUUGUCCACUGACCAUGACUGGAGAGGCAUCAAGAAAAGGGAAAAUCUACAGCAAGAGGACAUGGGUCUGUGGUGUUGUGUGCUUAAGAUGUCCUCUGUUUAUAUACAGCCAUCAUUGUUUGGUGUAACAUGGAUCUUGUAUAUACUAUCUCUAUUUAUAUACAGCCAUAACUGUUUGGUGUAACAUGGAUUUUAUAUAUGCUAUGAAACAAAUGAGGAGCCUUUCCAUUCAGAAACUACAGUAACACCAUUUUCUCCCUCAUUGCCAAAUUAGAUUAGCUAGUCUUCAGUUAGGUUGCCUUGUCCCUGGAAACUCCUGGGAAAAAGCUCACUUGCUUUCAAAAUCCAUCCCAGCUAUCUCUCCUCAGCAGUGCCCAUCUCAUAUACGUCUGUGUGUGUGUAUGUGUGUGUGUGUGUGUGUGUAGAUGUGGUUUUUGUUCUACCUAGUCUCUUCACCCUUCAGUCCCAAGUCCCACAGAGGCUUCUAUUAAUUAUAAACUGUUUGGCUGAUGGUUUAUUCUUCUUACUAGCUAGCUCUCUCUUAA